rnacentral:rRNA from 1 species
GACGAACGCUGGCGGCGUGCCUAAUACAUGCAAGUAGAACGCACAGUUUAUACCGUAGCUUGCUACACCAUAGACUGUGAGUUGCGAACGGGUGAGUAACGCGUAGGUAACCUGCCUGGUAGCGGGGGAUAACUAUUGGAAACGAUAGCUAAUACCGCAUAAUAUUGAUUAUUGCAUGAUAAUUAAUUGAAAUGUGCAAUUGCACCACUACCAGAUGGACCUGCGUUGUAUUAGCUAGUAGGUGAGGUAACGGCUCAACUAGGCGACGAUACAUAGCCGACCUGAGAGGGUGAUCGGCCAAACCGGGACUGGGACACGGCCCAGAAUUCUAAGGGAGGGAGCAGUAGGGAAUCUUCGGGAAUGGACGAAAGUCUGAACGAGCAACGCCGCGGGAGUGAAGAAGGUUUUCGGAUCGUAAAGCUCUGUUGUAAGAGAAGAACGGGUGUGAGAGUGGAAAGUUCACACUGUGACGGUAUCUUACCAGAAAGGGACGGCUAACUACGUG